UACGGGGGGGGCAAGCGUUGUUCGGAAUUACUGGGCGUAAAGGGCGCGUAGGCGGCCUGCUAAGUCGGAUGUGAAAUCCCUCGGCUCAACCGAGGAACUGCAUCCGAUACUGGCGGGCUUGAAUCCGGGAGAGGGAUGUGGAAUUCCAGGUGUAGCGGUGAAAUGCGUAGAUAUCUGGAGGAACAUCGGUGGCGAAGGCGGCAUCCUGGACCGGCAUUGACGCUGAGGCGCGAAAGCCAGGGGAGCAAACGGG
rnacentral:rRNA from 1 species